rnacentral:rRNA from 1 species
CCUACGGGGUGCUGCAGUGGGGAAUAUUGGACAAUGGGCGAAAGCCUGAUCCAGCCAUGCCGCGUGUGUGAAGAAGGCCUUCGGGUUGUAAAGCACUUUCAGUGGGGAAGAAAGCCUUGGGGCUAAUACCCUCGAGGAAGGACAUCACCCACAGAAGAAGCACCGGCUAACUCCGUGCCAGCAGCCGCGGUAAUACGGAGGGUGCGAGCGUUAAUCGGAAUUACUGGGCGUAAAGCGCGCGUAGGCGGUCUGAUAAGCCGGUUGUGAAAGCCCCGGGCUCAACCUGGGAACGGCAUCCGGAACUGUCAGGCUAGAGUGCAGGAGAGGAAGGUAGAAUUCCCGGUGUAGCGGUGAAAUGCGUAGAGAUCGGGAGGAAUACCAGUGGCGAAGGCGGCCUUCUGGGCUGACACUGACGCUGAGGUGCGAAAGCGUGGGUAGCAAACAGGAUUAGAUACCCUUGUAGUC